CAGAGAGAAAAGGAGAGAGAGAGAGCGUGUUAGAAAAACAAAGAGUGAAUUUGUGCAGCGUUAAAAAGGCAGUUUAGAAAGAAGAAGGUUGACAACGAGCAAAAAGAACAAUUCUACCAUAGAAGCACAAAGAUGAAGGGUAGAGGAGGAGGCUUGUUUCAGCACACAGAAAGACACAUUUUAAUAAUCUACAGCGGUGGGACAAAGUCAUUGUUGUGCAAGUCACAAGUGUAUGAAUUGCACACUCCUAAAUGUUGUUUAGAGUCCAAAACAAGUCAUUAUGUGCCCUUCACCAGAUUUAAUGCCAUUUUAAAUCUAUAAACAGUUAGUAUAGUACAUUUGCAAAAAUAAUACAUGCCUUUUAAAAUGUGCAUUCAUUCAUUUCAAAAAAAGCUGUCCAAUAUUUUAAAACACAAUGAUCAGGUAUAUACCGUGUUAUUCUGUUUUGAUUCUUGCAUGCAGGGCCAGGAUUUUAGAAAUACUGAGGUCAGGGGACCAAAUUCCUCCAAUGCAACCCACCCAUCACCAAAACAGCUUUUCCUUCCUGUAAUCAUUCCUCCUGUUCAUACUGGCCAUUAAGAGAUCCCUUGGCUUCUAAUGUAAGUGAUAGGGGACAAAAUCUACAGUCAUCGUUUUGUGCAAAAAUGUAUUUUAUCUGAGUUUAAGUUUAUCUGAAGUUAAUAUGAGGCUUCAGAAGUCUGAAGUUAAGUCACAUCAAGUGUGGAUCUUCCAAAGUUAGUCUUUUUAGUACAAAACUCCCUCCCUGUGUUUCCCUGGACAGUGUUUCCCAGUUGAGCUGCAGUGGAAGGAUAGUAACAAAAAGAGGGCCGGUAUAAACAGGAGGAACGAUUACAGGAAGCAAAACCUAUUUCAAUGUUCAUAUGGGAACCUGACUGUUGUCUUAAGACAGACUUGAAAAAUUGUGACCCUGUUCCUUUAAGUCUAACUGCAGUCAUGAGUCAUUGGUGGUAAAUUCUAAGUCAAAUUGCUUGUGUUUUUUGAUUCUGUCAAGUCUAAGUACAGUCUAGUCCACACCUCUGAUCAUCUGUAAAUGGUGGCACCACAAGGAGCCUAGGUUCAUGAAAACACACCAUUGAUUCUAUACAGGACUGGGGGGGAGGAAGUCGACAAAAAACAAACACACCCUUCAGACAAACCCAAGAAACACAGUCAAAAGAUGAAAAAGACCCACCGAAAAACAUUUUUUUACAGCACAGAUGCAGAAAGAUCCAAGACAAACUUCCAAAGCCAGAGAGAGAAAAUGUUCUAGUACAAAACAGACGAGGAUUGAUAAAAACAGACCAGCUGCAGACCAAACCACAACCGGAAAGGAUUUCACACAGGGAAGUGAAGCAGUGAGCCCCAGGCAAGACACAUGUAUCACACACACACACACACACAAAGCAUUUAGUUUCCUACCUCCUCCUUUUGUCUCAUCACAGGGCUUCCAGCUGAAAUGAGGAGGGGCUGGAAACUUUUCCCACCUCUACCACUGGUCCACGAAUUCACCACUAACUCAGCACAUUUUUGGGUAUGAGGCAGUUGCGAGGCUGCAUAUUUUAGUGUGUGUGUGUUUGUUUUGUAGAUUACGUUUUAACCCCCUAUGUAGCUUUUACAGUACAUAACAAUUAAUAAAUGGUUGAUAACACACAAUAAUGUAGUUAUCUCAUUAUCUGCCAGCAGAUGUAGGGAGUGUUUAAGUGUUUAAUUAAUGUAUCUGACAACAAUUUAACACGAUAAACAGUUAUAACAAUACAAAAUAUAGAUUCAUGUUUUACAUAAACAUAUAUAUUAUUUGUUUAUUACAUGUAUUAAUUAUAUUCAUAAAUUAAGUAUUUUAUAUAUAAAUAUUUCUUCUUACUCCAUGACAACUGAGCAAACUCCAUGUGAUGCGGCCAUGAGAUGCAGCUGAAAACUUUAGGAGAAACUUAGUAAGUGGACCUUAAGUUAAGUAUUGUUUUUUUUUUCUGAGGUCAAGAAAGAAAACUUCAAGCUCAAGUUUUGAACACGUUUAUAAUCAGUUUUAAACCUGCCUGUUAACAGUGUAUACAUGAGUAUAAACAGUUAUUAAAUGUUUUACAACAGUAAGAAUCUGUUUAUGUGUGUAAUAAAAUAUCAUUAAAUGUAAUUACAGAUAUCUUACACUGUGUUAUCAGUCAUUCAUAAAAGAAGGCCUAUGAUUCUUGUUGGUGUCUUGUGUUAAUAUAGGUGAUGUUUUCCAAACCGUGACAAAUAAGCCAAGACUUGCAGUGAAACUGGAACUUUCAGGUUUUGUUCCAGAAGUAAGAAAACCUCAUUUAAAAUCCCACUGACAUUUGUAACAUCUUGCUAAUAACAAAAAAUCCAGCUCUGGAACAGAGACUCUCUCAACAGUAUGUCAUGUGGUUCGCUUCAUAUGUUUAGAUAAGGACGGUGUUUUUUUUUUUUUUAAAUGUCGUUAUUUAUUUAAUAUUUCUGUUUUUCAGAGGCCUUUAACGAACACCAUUUGCCAGAAGCCCUAGGCCUUCGCGGGCUUAACAUCACGGCUCGACACGAGGCGAGUGUCUGUUGUUAGUUCAGACCGCAUCUGUAAUAACGGCUGGACAGAGAGGAGCGGUCUCUGUACAACUUUUUAGACAGCAGAGAUUACAACUCAAACUUUUUUUUUUAACCCCUGGAAAGAGCCAGGCUUGCUCUUUCCACCUGUUUCCAGUUAUUAUGCUAAGCUAAGACAGUUGUCUCCUGGCUCUAGCUUAGAUUCCAGAUAUGAGAGUGGAACUGAUCUUCUCAUCAAACUCUCAGCAAGAAACCAAACAAACAUAUGUCCUAAAAUGUUGAACUAUUUCUCUAUUUAAGUGUUACCAUUUUUGGGCGUAGCAGCAGUAACAAAGCAGACACAGCAGAGGGAGUCUGGUAGGCACCAGUGAGUAUAUUAUCAGUUUCCAGUCAUACAGGACAAUUACACAAUCCACAGAAGCAUCUCUUUCAUCCAGAACAAUUUAUCCAAAUAUCUCUCUGAUAUAGAACUCAAUAUAUAUAUUUUUCUGUCAUAUCUCUCGUUAUGUCACCACUGAUUUGUCACUAUUACCAUCCUCACAAUAAGCUUGCGCUUUUUUCACCUGGCAGAAUCAUCAUCUUUAUCAGCGAGCAUCUUUGUAUAACAGAAACAAAUCUGCGAUGUCACCAAGCGGCCGCCUCCCUUUUUGAUACAAGCUCAAAGAACAUUUGACACAUUGUUUACUUACCUGCAUCGUUACACAGUUACAAAAGGAUAAUACAACCUGCCUCACAAUGAAACACACGUCUUCUCAGACAAUUCAUUUUAUAUAUGAAAAUGACUUUCGAAGGGUAUUGUUGGAGAACAGUUAAGCUAUAAUGCAUAUUCUAAUAAUUAUACAUGUACUGCAAAAUGGCACAAGAUGGCUGCCCUUCAUCACAGUUGUUGAGGACAAUAUUUUCCCACAUCCUCGUGAUUCUGAACCCUAUUUUGGCACUUUAGGGUUUCCUGUUUUUGUAAGCUAACAAACCACCAGCUUCACGAGACUCGACAAGGCUUCGUCAUAUGUGAAAUUCUACAAAAAUGGUUGUUCACAAGCUAAGAGAUAUGCCCCCUGUCAAUAAAAACACAGUGUAAUGUGGUGAAUGUUUUCAGUAAUGAAUCAGGAGAAAAUUAAUGAGCUUUCAGUCAAAUAUCACUAACUAGACGUAGACUUACACUCUUUCAGACUGCAUCUAUAAAGACUUCUAUCCUCUGACUGGUUAAAAAUGAAAUUAGCAAAAAAUUUAAGAUAAGCUCACCACAACACUGACUGAACAGAAAGUGUAGAAGUAUUUGGUCCUAUAGAUAAAAUUAAAGUCAACAUUAGAAAACUUGUACUUAAACAAUCAUAACAAAGCAAUUGGUCAGUUUUCACUUACACUGUAUGAAUAUUACCAAUAUGCGAUCAUAGUACACUCAUCAAUAUUACUGAUAGGUUGUCAUAGUCAAUGUGUAACUACAGGGAGGGUGACACAGAGACGAGCAGCUGGGCAGCAUUCAGGAGCAACAAUUCUGCACUAAAGAUAGAAAUACAGCCACUAGAGCUGAUAUGAGAGCAGCAGUGUAACAUGACAUGCUAAACCAAAGUAAACUGAAAACAGUGUCACCGCUGGAAACGAGACUAGUCUCCUACUGGCGACUUGACACAUGAACAUCUGAUUAUUUCUCCUGAUUGUUAGCAUUUGAGCACCUGUCUGCAUUUCCAUCUGAACGUUAUUUAAAUAAAUAGUUUGGCAUUUUGGGAAAUACGCUUAUUUGAUUUCUUUCCGAGAGUUAGAUGAGAGGAUUGAUA